rnacentral:rRNA from 1 species
CUACGGGAGGCUGCAGUGGGGAAUCUUGCGCAAUGGGCGAAAGCCUGACGCAGCAACGCCGCGUGCGGGAUGAAGGCCUUCGGGCUGUAAACCGCUUUCAGCAGGAACGAAAAUGACGGUACCUGCAGAAGAAGGAGCGGCCAACUACGUGCCAGCAGCCGCGGUGACACGUAGGCUCCAAGCGUUGUCCGGAUUUAUUGGGCGUAAAGAGCUCGUAGGCGGUUGAGUAAGUCGGGUGUGAAAACUCUGGGCUUAACCCGGAGACGCCAUCCGAUACUGCUCUGACUAGAGUUCAGGAGGGGAGUGGGGAAUUCCUAGUGUAGCGGUGAAAUGCGCAGAUAUUAGGAGGAACACCGGUGGCGAAGGCGCCACUCUGGACUGAAACUGACGCUGAGGAGCGAAAGCAUGGGUAGCAAACAGGAUUAGAUACCCGUGUAGUC